AUUGUUUUUGUUUAUAUAUAUCUUUUUUUUUUUUCUAUUUUUAUAUACUUUCAGUUAUUGAUAAUUUUAUGUUAGCAUGGUUGUUUACUGUGAAAAAGUAAAAAAAAUACUGUAACACCACUCUUCCUAUCAUUUACAGGUGAAUGUUGACUGUGUUUAUUUGUGGUUUGUGCUGGCAAUAUGUGAUUGUGAUACACUUUCUGAUACAUACACAAACAUGCUGCACAAUGACACACAACAUGACACUAACAUGCGCACACACAAACUACACAUUCUCUCACACUAACACACCGCACAUUCCAUUAAGUUAUUUCAAUUACCAGCAGUUGCAUAGAUGUUUCAUCUCUCUCUGCCAUGCAUAGUGUGUCCGCCGCCGGGAUAUGACACCACGCUGUAUCUUGAUGGCUUCCAGCCCUGUGCAAUGCAAAGAGCAUCUGUCUACAGCCUCCACGUAAUCAAUAAUGAACAAACAGUCCGCCAGAAUGUUUCUACACCUGCCGAGAUACACCCCCUGUGGGGCACCAAUCCAGUGGCAGGGCUAAAAUAAUUUUUUUUUAAACUUCCUUUCCGGUGACCAGAACUGCCUGUCUCAGACAUGAGGGGUAUAUAAAUUCCAGAAUCCUAUGGGCACAUACUACUUGUUAUGAUAAUGGUCUGUGUGUAAACAGUGCUGCCCUGUAGUUUGAAGACAAACCUUUUAUUCUAGAUUUUAUUUGGAAUCUCUGUGUAUAUGAUCACUCCUGGCAGGACAUUCCAGGUAGAGUCCAACGGCAUCAAGACCUGGCAACCUUGCAACAAAUACUGUUUUAUCACUAGAAAUCUAAAAGUAAAACACCGGUUGGUUCCCACAUUGGUCUGUAUACUAAACUGUCCAAACAUUGUUCAUCUUCUUGAGUACUUGAAAUGAAUGCAUCGUACUGUGACAUCGGAUGACUUGGC